AUGAACGCUGGCGGCGUGCCUAAUACCUGCAAGUCGAGCGAACAGACGAGGAGCUUGCUCCUCUGACGUUAGCGGCGGACGGGUGAGUAACACGUGGAUAACCUACCUAUAAGACUGGGAUAACUUCGGGAAACCGGAGCUAAUACCGGAUAAUAUAUUGAACCGCGUGGUUCAAUAGUGAAAGACGGUUUUGCUGUCACUUAUAGAUGGAUCCGCGCCGCAUUAGCUAGUUGGUAAGGUAACGGCUUACCAAGGCAACGAUGCGUAGCCGACCUGAGAGGGUGAUCGGCCACACUGGAACUGAGACACGGUCCAGACUCCUACGGGAGGCAGCAGUAGGGAAUCUUCCGCAAUGGGCGAAAGCCUGACGGAGCAACGCCGCGUGAGUGAUGAAGGUCUUCGGAUCGUAAAACUCUGUUAUUAGGGAAGAACAAAUGUGUAAGUAACUAUGCACGUCUUGACGGUACCUAAUCAGAAAGCCACGGCUAACUACGUG
rnacentral:rRNA from 1 species